GGGGCGAUCAGCUGAGACAACAUGGCGUCGUCGGCGAUCAGAGGCGUCGGCCAAUUCGCGAGGUUUUGGGCGUCCUCGCGCUCGCACAGACUCUGCAAGGUUCAGGUUUGCUUGCUGUCGACAAGUAUUCGACGAGAUGCCAGGUUUUAUGACAACGCAUUGGAGGCUGUCAAUGACAUUCCCGCGGGAUCGAAGCUCCUUGUUGGGGGCUUUGGUCUCUGUGGCAUCCCGGAGAACCUGAUUGGAGGACUGCUGGAGACCAAGGUGAAGGACUUGACGGUAGUGAGCAACAAUGCAGGAGUGGACAACUUUGGCUUGGGACUCCUGCUGGCCCAGAAGCAGAUCAAGCGUAUGAUUUCCUCCUAUGUAGGCGAAAAUGCAGAGUUCGAACGGCAGUACCUGAGCGGGGAGCUGGAGGUGGAGCUUACGCCACAGGGCACAUUGGCUGAGCGAUGUCGUGCUGGGGGUGCAGGCAUCCCUGCCUUCUUCACUCCGACUGGUUUCGGCACGCUCGUCCACGAGGGAGGGUCUCCCAUCAAAUAUGGGGAAGGUGGUGCUAUUGAGAUCCAGAGUGCCCCAAGGGAAAGCCGGAUGUUCAACGGACGGAAUUACAUCAUGGAGGAGGCCAUCACUGGGGACUUUGCUCUCAUCAAGGCGUGGAAGGCUGACCGGGCGGGCAACCUUCUCUUUAGGAAGACGACACGCAACUUCAACCUACCAAUGUGCAAAGCUGCCAAGACCACCAUAGUUGAAGUGGAGGAGGUGGUUGACAUUGGGGAAAUCCCUGAGGACAGCGUUCAUGUCCCUGCCAUCUAUGUGGACCGCAUCAUUAAAGGGGAAAAGUACGAGAAGAGAAUUGAGCGCUUGACCUUGCGUAAGGAGAAGAAGAAGAGUGCAGCAUCCUCCAACCCGGCCGUGGCCAUGAGGGAGCGCAUUGUGCGACGUGCUGCCCUUGAGUUCAAAGAUGGCAUGUACGCCAACCUGGGAAUUGGGAUGCCCAUGCUUGCCAGCAAUUACAUCCCAGAUGGUACGAACGUGCAGCUGCAGAGUGAGAAUGGAGUGCUGGGCUUGGGCCCCUUCCCUGCCCCGGGCGAGCAAGACCCCGACCUCAUCAAUGCAGGGAAAGAGACCGUGACUGUCACGCCUGGAGCCUCCUACUUCGGCUCUGAUGAGAGCUUUGCCAUGAUCCGAGGCGGCCACGUGGACCUAACAAUUCUUGGGGCCAUGGAAGUCUCGCAGUACGGUGAUCUUGCCAACUGGAUGAUUCCGGGCAAGAUGGUGAAAGGCAUGGGUGGCGCAAUGGACCUGGUGUCAUCGCCCGGCACGAAGGUGGUGGUGACAAUGGAGCACUCUGCCAAGAAGGGCGGACACAAGAUCGUGGAAGCCUGCUCACUCCCCCUCACAGGCAAGAACUGUGUUGAUAUGAUCAUCACAGAGAAGUGUGUCUUCAGUGUAGACAAGGAGAAUGGCCUGACUCUAGUAGAAAUCGCUGACGGCGUUACCAUCGAGGACGUUGUAUCCAGCACAGGAUGCUUAUUCAAAGUAGCAGAAAACCUCAAGCCAAUGGGACAGAUUGAAGUUGCAGAUGAAUAAAAGGCUAAAAAUUACUUAAAUUUAGCUUUCAAUUCAAAAGAAAGAUGGAGAUACUCAGAUUAGUGCUCUUUGAUUAACUAAUGGGGCAUAUUCCACAGUCUGGGGCAUUGAUUAUAAAAGGAUGCACUUAUCCUUUUGUUACUAUAGUUCUUCCACACCUAUAAUAACAGCAAGUUGAUUUUGCAUAAAAAAGAAAUGCACAUAAGUAACUAUAGUAAUGAAUAAAGUUUUUACUCUGUUUGAACCAAGGAUUCCUUCUUCUUGGAUCAUCACCUUAGUCAUUGUAGUGGCAUUCAGUUUUACUCUUUGUGUGUAACAGUGUGUUAAAAGCUAUAUUUUCUUGAUCUUACCUCAUUUGUUCAGCUUCAGUUGAUUGUCUGCACCACAUACAAAGGAGAAAAUAAAACAAAAAGCUUUUUAGGUGAAAGUUUAGUUUUUCUUUACAGUUUACUAACAAAGCCACAUAGUUCAGUGAUGAAGGCCACAGCAGCAACACUGGUUCAAAGCCAAGCUACUAGCUAUAGGGGUCUCUUGCACAAACAAACUCAAGGGAUAUUUUGCUAGCGCCUACUGGAGAUGCAGAGAGAAGAUGCAGGUUUCUCUUAUUGACUUGCCAGGACCGUGUCAUUUGAUCAUAGAAUGGUUGUUUUGCUAAAAGUCUUGUACAAGAUUCUGCAGGUUAAGAAAAUAUCUUUCAAACUCAGAUGUGGUCUUGUGGAGGAUAUGUCUUUCUAUUAUUAGACUGUAAUUCCAGCUUUGGAAAGAGUGAUAAGUAGCAUUAAUGGUGAUGGAAAUUUCAUGGUAGUUUCUAAGUUUUUGCAUUAUUCAAGAAGCUUUAACAUCUUUUGAGGUGAGAGUUGAAGUUCAAUGUUAGGAAAUAUGAAAGAUUAUAAAUUGAGAAAUAGGGAAGACAAUGAAUUAAGAAAUUGAUAGACUGUUCCAGAAACAUUGAGUGUACUGCAGGCUAUCUUGCUUUAAAGAAUAGGAGCAGAUAAUAUGGUGGUACCAAAGUUUGCUUGGUCUUGUCAAAGUUGUAUCGCCUUUCCUUACUGUGGCAGACUCUGCUAAGUGUGGGAGACUAAAAUGAUGUGUGUACUGUAGAGUUCACUGCUGCUUGCGAUAAACAAGAGUGGAUAAUUCUUUGCCGCUGAAUUCCUGAUAGAGAUAGUAGGUGGAGUAAGGUUGGUAUUGGUAGGUGGUCGGUAAUUUUUCCUUUCUUUCUUUCUUUCUUCUUUUGUAAAUUGAGGCUUGUGCAUGCAAUUGGACUUGAACUCUGUGUAUGUUGUACUAGUAGGAAGUUGGAAUUAAGAGAAUUAGUCAGUUAUGGAAAAGGUUAAUGCAAUGAAAAGGGAAAAGCUUCAGUCUACAGCUACGCAGUGUCAAAAGUGAUUCCAGUAGUGGUUUGUGGAGCCACAACUUCUCUCCCAGUGAAGACACUUAUUUUGCUGGUGUUCAGAUACACCUGUUUAAAUAGUACAAUGACAGUGGAAGGAGCCAGAUGAAAGAAACAUCUUUUAUGACUUGAAUGAUAAUGUUGUUGCUCAGGUUUCCCUACAAUGCAUCAAGAUACUUAGAAUUAGUAUUAGUCCAGAGAAUUGCAGAAACUCAAUCCCUGUCACAAGCCAACUAAAAAAAAAAAAAUUGUGGUCAUCCAUCUGGUUUCAUCCUCAUUUUUUGGUUGUAGAUAAAAUAGAUAACAAUUCUUUGCAUUUUCCAGUCUAUCACAAAAGCCAAAUUAUGUCUAGGAAAACCACAAAUGAACACAGAGAUUGAAGUUCUCAGCAGAGCACAUUUGUUGCAAAAUGUCGAGUGUAUUGUAGUUCCAGUAUAAUCAAUUGAUGUACAUUUGAAAUUCAUUCAUGUUGUGUAUAACUUUUAGGAAUUAAUGUAGGAAAAAUAUUUUAAUACUGUAUAUAGAAAAAUUUGUAAUAAAAAAAUUGCAAAACGUUU
rnacentral:misc_RNA from 1 species